rnacentral:rRNA from 1 species
AUUGAACGCUGGCGGCAUGCCUUACACAUGCAAGUCGAACGGUAACAGGUCUUCGGAUGCUGACGAGUGGCGAACGGGUGAGUAAUACAUCGGAACGUGCCUAGUAGUGGGGGAUAACUACUCGAAAGAGUGGCUAAUACCGCAUGAGAUCUACGGAUGAAAGCAGGGGAUCGCCAGACCUUGCGCUACUAGAGCGGCCGAUGGCAGAUGAGGUAGUUGGUGGGAUAAAAGCUUACCAAGCCGACGAUCUGUAGCUGGUCUGAGAGGACGAUCAGCCACACUGGGACUGAGAAACGGCCCAGACUCCUACGGGAGGCAGCAGUGGGGAAUUUUGGACAAUGGGCGCAAGCCUGAUCCAGCAAUGCCGCGUGCAGGAUGAAGGCCUUCGGGUUGUAAACUGCUUUUGUACGGAACGAAAAGCCCCGGGUUAAUACCCUGGGGUCAUGACGGUACCGUAAGAAUAAGCACCGGCUAACUUCGUGCCAGCCGCCGCCGUAA